GGCCACGUAGCCAAGUAGCAAGGCAACUGUCUGCAAAACAGUUAUGCGCCGGUGCAAUUCCGGCCGUGGCCUC
rnacentral:tRNA from 1 species